rnacentral:siRNA from 1 species
AGUGUCUAUUUCUCAUAUUUCUA